AUUGAACGCUGGCAGCAGGCUUAACACAUGCAAGUCGAGCGGGGGAAGGUAGCUUGCUACCGGACCUAGCGGCGGACGGGUGAGUAAUGCUUAGGAAUCUGCCUAUUAGUGGGGGACAACAUCUCGAAAGGGAUGCUAAUACCGCAUACGUCCUACGGGAGAAAGCAGGGGAUCUUCGGACCUUGCGCUAAUAGAUGAGCCUAAGUCGGAUUAGCUAGUUGGUGGGGUAAAGGCCUACCAAGGCGACGACCUGUAGCGGGUGUGAGAGGAUGAUCCGCCACACUGGGACUGAGACACGGCCCAGACUCCUACGGGAGGCAGCAGUGGGGAAUAUUGGACAAUGGGGGGAACCCUGAUCCAGCCAUGCCGCGUGUGUGAAGAAGGCCUUAUGGUUGUAAAGCACUUUAAGCGAGGAGGAGGCUACUUUAGUUAAUACCUAGAGAUAGUGGACGUUACUCGCAGAAUAAGCACCGGCUAACUCUGUGCCAGCCGCCGCCGUAA
rnacentral:rRNA from 1 species